rfam:Paraliobacillus sp. PM-2 genome assembly, contig: CONTIG000001
GGCGGUGUAGCUCAGCUGGCGAGAGCGUACGGUUCAUACCCGUAAGGUCGGGGGUUCGAUCCCCUCCGCCGCUA